GACGAACGCUGGCGGCGUGCCUAACACAUGCAAGUCGAACGGAGUAAAGAGCUUCGGUUUUUUACUUAUUGCCGACCGGGCGAUUAACGCGUGAGAAACCGGCUUUUCAGGGGGGGACACCGGUUGGAAACAACUGCUAAUACGGCUAAAUGUUAUUGGGGGGCAUCCCCGAUUAACCAAAGUUUUAUGUGCUGAAGGAUGGUCUCGCGGCUGUGUAGCUAGAUGGCGGGUUACCGGCCCACCAUGGCGACGAUCAGUAGCCGGUCUGAGAGGAUGAACGGACACAUUGGGACUGAGAUACGGCCCAGACUCCUACGGGAGGCAGCAGUGGGGAAUAUUGGGCAAUGGGGGAAACCCUGACCCAGCAACGCCGCGUGAAGGAAGAAGGCCUUCGGGUUGUAAACUUCUUUUACCAGGGACGAAGAACGUGACGGUACCUGGAGAAAAAGCAACGGCUAACUACGUGCCAGCAGCAGCCGCAGUAA
rnacentral:rRNA from 1 species